GACUUCUGGUUUAAUGCACCUGGCCCGCGGCCCACAAGGCGUGUGAGUGCCGGCGCGUUUAUCAUCCUUCCAGCAACGGCUACCCUUAACUGGGCGGCUGGAACUGGAUCUUUUACUUUGAAAAAAUUAGAGUGUUUAAAGCAGGCGUUUGCUCUGAAUACAUUAGCAUGGAAUAAUAAUCUAGGACUUCGGUUCUAUUUUGUUGGUUUCUAUAACUGAAGUAAUGAUUGAUAGGGAUAGUUGGGGGUGCUAGUAUUGGCCGGUCAGAGGUGAAAUUCUUGGAUUCGGUCAAGACUAACUUAUGCGAAAGCAUU
rnacentral:rRNA from 1 species